UGGGGAAUUUUGGACAAUGGGCGCAAGCCUGAUCCAGCCAUGCCGCGUGCGGGAAGAAGGCCUUCGGGUUGUAACCGCUUUUGNCAGGGAAGAAAUCUUCUGAGUUAAUACCUCGGGAGGAUGACGGUACCUGAAGAAUAAGCACCGGCUAACUACGUGCCAGCAGCCGCGGUAAUACGUAGGGUGCAAGCGUUAAUCGGAAUUACUGGGCGUAAAGCGUGCGCAGGCGGUUUUGUAAGACAGAGGUGAAAUCCCCGGGCUCAACCUGGGAACUGCCUUUGUGACUGCAAGGCUUGAGUGCGGCAGAGGGGGAUGGAAUUCCGCGUGUAGCAGUGAAAUGCGUAGAUAUGCGGAGGAACACCGAUGGCGAAGGAAUCCCCUGGGCCUGCACUGACGCUCAUGCACGAAAGCGUGGGGAGCAAACAGGAUUAGAAUAGCCCUGGUAGUCCACGCCCCUAAAACCGAUGCCAACUGGUUGUUGGGAAGGUUCCUUCUCAGUAACGUAGCUAACGCGUGAAGUUGACCGCCUGGGGAGUACGGCCGCAAGGUUGAAA
rnacentral:rRNA from 1 species